GGUUAAGUGACUAAGCGUACACGGUGGAUGCCUUGGCAGUCAGAGGCGAUGAAAGACGUAGUAACUUGCGAUAAGCCCAGAUUAGGUAGUAACAACCAUUUGAGUCUGGGAUUUCUGAAUGGGGAAACCCACGUGCAUAAGCACGUAUCCUUACCUGAAUACAUAGGGUAAGGAGGCGAACCGGGGGAACUGAAACAUCUAAGUACCCCGAGGAAAAGAAAUCAACCGAGAUUCCGAAAGUAGCGGCGAGCGAAAUUGGACUAGCCCUUAAGCUUUACACGCGUUAGACGAACGGUCUGGAAAGUCCGACGAUACAGGGUGAUAGUCCCGUAGUUGACGACGUGUGUUCAGUGAAAUCGAGUAGGGCGGGACACGUGAUAUCCUGUCUGAAUAUGGGGGGACCAUCCUCCAAGGCUAAAUACUACUGACUGACCGAUAGUGAACCAGUACCGUGAGGGAAAGGCGAAAAGAACCCCUGUGAGGGGAGUGAAAUAGAACCUGAAACCGUGUACGUACAAGCAGUAGGAGCAGGCUUUGUCCUGUGACUGCGUACCUUUUGUAUAAUGGGUCAGCGACUUAUAUUCAGUGGCAAGGUUAACCAUCUAGGGGAGCCGUAGGGAAACCGAGUCUUAACUGGGCGUUCAGUCUCUGGAUAUAGACCCGAAACCAGGUGAUCUAGCCAUGGGCAGGUUGAAGGUUGAGUAACAUCAACUGGAGGACCGAACCGACUAAUGUUGAAAAAUUAGCGGAUGACUUGUGGCUAGGGGUGAAAGGCCAAUCAAACCUGGAGAUAGCUGGUUCUCCCCGAAAGCUAUUUAGGUAGCGCCUCGGACGAAUACUACUGGGGGUAGAGCACUGUUAAGGCUAGGGGGUCAUCCCGACUUACCAACCCUUUGCAAACUCCGAAUACCAGUAAGUACUAUCCGGGAGACACACGGCGGGUGCUAACGUCCGUCGUGGAGAGGGAAACAACCCAGACCGCCAGCUAAGGUCCCAAAUUACUACUAAGUGGGAAACGAUGUGGGAAGGCUCAGACAGCCAGGAUGUUGGCUUAGAAGCAGCCAUCAUUUAAAGAAAGCGUAAUAGCUCACUGGUCGAGUCGGCCUGCGCGGAAGAUGUAACGGGGCUAAGUAGUAAACCGAAGCUGCGGCAAUGUGCUUUUGCACAUUGGGUAGGGGAGCGUUCUGUAAGCGGUUGAAGGUGUGUGGUAACGCAUGCUGGACGUAUCAGAAGUGCGAAUGCUGACAUGAGUAACGAUAAAGGGGGUGAAAAACCUCCUCGCCGGAAGACCAAGGGUUCCUGUCCAACGUUAAUCGGGGCAGGGUAAGUCGACCCCUAAGGCGAGGCCGAAAGGCGUAGUCGAUGGGAAACGGGUUAAUAUUCCCGUACUUCUUACAAUUGCGAUGGGGGGACGGAGAAGGCUAGGUGGGCCUGGCGACGGUUGUCCAGGUUCAAGUGCGUAGGCUUAAGAGUUAGGUAAAUCCGGCUCUUUCUAAGGCUGAGACACGACGUCGAGCACCUACGGGUGUGAAGUCAUUGAUGCCAUGCUUCCAGGAAAAGCCUCUAAGCUUCAGAUUGUAAGGAAUCGUACCCCAAACCGACACAGGUGGUCGGGUAGAGAAUACCAAGGCGCUUGAGAGAACUCGGGUGAAGGAACUAGGCAAAAUGGUACCGUAACUUCGGGAGAAGGUACGCUCUCGACGGUGAAGUCCCUUGCGGAUGGAGCUAUUGAGAGUCGCAGAUACCAGGUGGCUGCAACUGUUUAUUAAAAACACAGCACUGUGCAAAAUCGUAAGAUGACGUAUACGGUGUGACGCCUGCCCGGUGCCGGAAGGUUAAUUGAUGGGGUUAGACUUCGGUCGAAGCUCUUGAUCGAAGCCCCGGUAAACGGCGGCCGUAACUAUAACGGUCCUAAGGUAGCGAAAUUCCUUGUCGGGUAAGUUCCGACCUGCACGAAUGGCGUAAUGAUGGCCACGCUGUCUCCACCCGAGACUCAGUGAAAUUGAAAUCGCUGUGAAGAUGCAGUGUACCCGCGGCUAGACGGAAAGACCCCGUGAACCUUUACUACAGCUGGCACUGAACAUUGACCCUACAUGUGUAGGAUAGGUGGGAGGCUUUGAAGCACGUACGCCAGUAUGUGUGGAGCCGUCCUUGAAAUACCACCCUUGUAGUGUUGAUGUUCUAACGUCGACCCCUUAUCGGGGUUGCGGACAGUGCCUGGUGGGUAGUUUGACUGGGGCGGUCUCCUCCCAAAGAGUAACGGAGGAGCACGAAGGUGGGCUAAUCACGGUUGGACAUCGUGAGGUUAGUGCAAUGGCAUAAGCCCGCUUGACUGCGAGAAUGACAAUUCGAGCAGGUGCGAAAGCAGGUCAUAGUGAUCCGGUGGUUCUGAAUGGAAGGGCCAUCGCUCAACGGAUAAAAGGUACUCCGGGGAUAACAGGCUGAUACCGCCCAAGAGUUCAUAUCGACGGCGGUGUUUGGCACCUCGAUGUCGCUCAUCACAUCCUGGGGCUGAAGUCGGUCCCAAGGGUAUGGCUGUUCGCCAUUUAAAGUGGUACGCGAGCUGGGUUUAGAACGUCGUGAGACAGUUCGGUCCCUAUCUGCCGUGGGCGUUGGAAGAUUGAAGGGGGCUGCUCCUAGUACGAGAGGACCGGAGUGGACGAACCUCUGGUGUUCGGGUUGUGUCGCCAGACGCAUUGCCCGGUAGCUAAGUUCGGAAUCGAUAACCGCUGAAAGCAUCUAAGCGGGAAGCGAGCCCUGAGAUGAGUCUUCCCUGAUACUUUAAGUAUCCUAAAGGGUUGUCGGAGACUACGACGUUGAUAGGUCAGGUGUGUAAGUGCUGUGAGGCAUUGAGCUAACUGAUACUAAUUGCCCGUGAGGCUUAACCAU
rnacentral:rRNA from 1 species